rnacentral:tRNA from 1 species
GGGUUUGUGGCGCAAUGGCAGCGCAUUUGACUCCAGAUCAAAAGGUUUGGCGUUCGACUACGGGUCAAGGGGGAGGCGACAACAAAAAAAGCAGCCGGGAUUCGAUCCCC